UACGUAGGGUGCGAGCGUUAAUCGGAAUUACUGGGCGUAAAGCGUGCGCAGGCGGUGAUGUAAGACAGAUGUGAAAUCCCCGGGCUACACCUGGGAACUGCAUUUGUGACUGCAUGGCUGAGAGUACGGUAGAGGGGGAUGGAAUUCCGCGUGUAGCAGUGAAAUGCGUAGAUAUGCGGAGGAACACCGAUGGCGAAGGCAAUCCCCUGGACCUGUACUGACGCUCAUGCACGAAAGCGUGGGGAGCAAACAGG
rnacentral:rRNA from 1 species